GUUCUUUGCCCAAUACCCAUUGGUCGUUGACCUUAGGUGCAGCAUAAGCACCUGCUUAAUUUCUGUGCCAGCAGACGCCGUAAAACGGAGGGUGCCAAGCCUUAAUAAGAAAUUACUGGGCGUAAAGCGAGCGUAGGUGGCUUGAUAAGUCAGAUGUGAAAGCCCCGGGCUUAACCUGGGAACGCCAUCUGAUACUGUUAGGCUAGAGUAGGUGAGAGGAAGGUAGAAUUCCAGGUGUAGCGGUGAAAUGCGUAGAGAUCUGGAGGAAUACCGAUGGCGAAGGCAGCUUUCUGGCAUCAUACUGACACUGAGGUUCGAAAGCGUGGGUAGCAAACAGGAUUAGAUACCCUGGUAGUCCACGCCGUAAACGAUGUCUACUAGUCGUUGGGUCCCUUGAGGACUUAGUGACGCAGCUAACGCAAUAAGUAGACCGCCUGGGGAGUACGGCCGCAAGGUUAAAACUCAAAUGAAUUGACGGGGGCCCGCACAAGCGGUGGAGCAUGUGGUUUAAUUCGAUGCAACGCGAAGAACCUUACCUGGUCUUGACAUAUCUAGAAUCCUGCAGAGAUGCGGGAGUGCCUUCGGGAAUUAGAAUACAGGUGCUGCAUGGCUGUCGUCAGCUCGUGUCGUGAGAUGUUGGGUUAAGUCCCGCAACGAGCGCAACCCUUGUCCUUAGUUACCAGCGGUUUGGCCGGGAACUCUAAGGAUACUGCCAGUGACAAACUGGAGGAAGGCGGGGACGACGUCAAGUCAUCAUGGCCCUUACGACCAGGGCUACACACGUGCUACAAUGGUAGGUACAGAGGGCAGCUACACAGCGAUGUGAUGCGAAUCUCAAAAAGCCUAUCGUAGUCCAGAUUGGAGUCUGCAACUCGACUCCAUGAAGUAGGAAUCGCUAGUAAUCGCGGAUCAGAAUGCCGCGGUGAAUACGUUCCCGGGCCUUGUACACACCGCCCGUCACACCAUGGGAGUUGAUUGCACCAGAAGUGGUUAGCCUAACCUUUAGGAAGGCGAUCACCGCGGUUGUAGUGAAAAAAAAAAAAAAACCCCC
rnacentral:rRNA from 1 species